rnacentral:rRNA from 1 species
AGCGUACACGGUGGAUGCCCUGGCAGUCAGAGGCGAUGAAGGACGUGCUAAUCUGCGAUAAGCGUCGGUAAGGUGAUAUGAACCGUUAUAACCGGCGAUUUCCGAAUGGGGAAACCCAGUGUGAUUCGUCACACUAUCAUUAACUGAAUCCAUAGGUUAAUGAGGCGAACCGGGGGAACUGAAACAUCUAAGUACCCCGAGGAAAAGAAAUCAACCGAGAUUCCCCCAGUAGCGGCGAGCGAACGGGGAGCAGCCCAGAGCCUGAAUCAGUGUGUGUGUUAGUGGAAGCGUCUGGAAAGGCGCGCGAUACAGGGUGACAGCCCCGUACACAAAAAUGCACAUACUGUGAGCUCGAUGAGUAGGGCGGGACACGUGGUAUCCUGUCUGAAUAUGGGGGGACCAUCCUCCAAGGCUAAAUACUCCUGACUGACCGAUAGUGAACCAGUACCGUGAGGGAAAGGCGAAAAGAACCCCGGCGAGGGGAGUGAAAAAGAACCUGAAACCGUGUACGUACAAGCAGUGGGAGCACAGAGCAAUCUGUGUGACUGCGUACCUUUUGUAUAAUGGGUCAGCGACUUAUAUUCUGUAGCAAGGUUAACCGAAUAGGGGAGCCGAAGGGAAACCGAGUCUUAACUGGGCGUUAAGUUGCAGGGUAUAGACCCGAAACCCGGUGAUCUAGCCAUGGGCAGGUUGAAGGUUGGGUAACACUAACUGGAGGACCGAACCGACUAAUGUUGAAAAAUUAGCGGAUGACUUGUGGCUGGGGGUGAAAGGCCAAUCAAACCGGGAGAUAGCUGGUUCUCCCCGAAAGCUAUUUAGGUAGCGCCUCGUGAAUUCAUCUCCGGGGGUAGAGCACUGUUUCGGCAAGGGGGUCAUCCCGACUUACCAACCCGAUGCAAACUGCGAAUACCGGAGAAUGUUAUCACGGGAGACACACGGCGGGUGCUAACGUCCGUCGUGAAGAGGGAAACAACCCAGACCGCCAGCUAAGGUCCCAAAGUCAUGGUUAAGUGGGAAACGAUGUGGGAAGGCCCAGACAGCCAGGAUGUUGGCUUAGAAGCAGCCAUCAUUUAAAGAAAGCGUAAUAGCUCACUGGUCGAGUCGGCCUGCGCGGAAGAUGUAACGGGGCUAAACCAUGCACCGAAGCUGCGGCAGCGACGCUUAUGCGUUGUUGGGUAGGGGAGCGUUCUGUAAGCCUGCGAAGGUGUGCUGUGAGGCAUGCUGGAGGUAUCAGAAGUGCGAAUGCUGACAUAAGUAACGAUAAAGCGGGUGAAAAGCCCGCUCGCCGGAAGACCAAGGGUUCCUGUCCAACGUUAAUCGGGGCAGGGUGAGUCGACCCCUAAGGCGAGGCCGAAAGGCGUAGUCGAUGGGAAACAGGUUAAUAUUCCUGUACUUGGUGUUACUGCGAAGGGGGGACGGAGAAGGCUAUGUUGGCCGGGCGACGGUUGUCCCGGUUUAAGCGUGUAGGCUGGUUUUCCAGGCAAAUCCGGAAAAUCAAGGCUGAGGCGUGAUGACGAGGCACUACGGUGCUGAAGCAACAAAUGCCCUGCUUCCAGGAAAAGCCUCUAAGCAUCAGGUAACAUCAAAUCGUACCCCAAACCGACACAGGUGGUCAGGUAGAGAAUACCAAGGCGCUUGAGAGAACUCGGGUGAAGGAACUAGGCAAAAUGGUGCCGUAACUUCGGGAGAAGGCACGCUGAUAUGUAGGUGAAGUCCCUUGCGGAUGGAGCUGAAAUCAGUCGAAGAUACCAGCUGGCUGCAACUGUUUAUUAAAAACACAGCACUGUGCAAACACGAAAGUGGACGUAUACGGUGUGACGCCUGCCCGGUGCCGGAAGGUUAAUUGAUGGGGUCAGCGCAAGCGAAGCUCUUGAUCGAAGCCCCGGUAAACGGCGGCCGUAACUAUAACGGUCCUAAGGUAGCGAAAUUCCUUGUCGGGUAAGUUCCGACCUGCACGAAUGGCGUAAUGAUGGCCAGGCUGUCUCCACCCGAGACUCAGUGAAAUUGAACUCGCUGUGAAGAUGCAGUGUACCCGCGGCAAGACGGAAAGACCCCGUGAACCUUUACUAUAGCUUGACACUGAACAUUGAGCCUUGAUGUGUAGGAUAGGUGGGAGGCUUUGAAGUGUGGACGCCAGUCUGCAUGGAGCCGACCUUGAAAUACCACCCUUUAAUGUUUGAUGUUCUAACGUUGACCCGUGAUCCGGGUUGCGGACAGUGUCUGGUGGGUAGUUUGACUGGGGCGGUCUCCUCCUAAAGAGUAACGGAGGAGCACGAAGGUUGGCUAAUCCUGGUCGGACAUCAGGAGGUUAGUGCAAUGGCAUAAGCCAGCUUGACUGCGAGCGUGACGGCGCGAGCAGGUGCGAAAGCAGGUCAUAGUGAUCCGGUGGUUCUGAAUGGAAGGGCCAUCGCUCAACGGAUAAAAGGUACUCCGGGGAUAACAGGCUGAUACCGCCCAAGAGUUCAUAUCGACGGCGGUGUUUGGCACCUCGAUGUCGGCUCAUCACAUCCUGGGGCUGAAGUAGGUCCCAAGGGUAUGGCUGUUCGCCAUUUAAAGUGGUACGCGAGCUGGGUUUAGAACGUCGUGAGACAGUUCGGUCCCUAUCUGCCGUGGGCGCUGGAGAACUGAGGGGGGCUGCUCCUAGUACGAGAGGACCGGAGUGGACGCAUCACUGGUGUUCGGGUUGUCAUGCCAAUGGCACUGCCCGGUAGCUAAAUGCGGAAGAGAUAAGUGCUGAAAGCAUCUAAGCACGAAACUUGCCCCGAGAUGAGUUCUCCCUGACUCCUUGA